GCACAGGCACUGAUGUGAGCACUUUAAUUGUCAUGUAUCUUUAAAUAUUUUCUGUUUUUCAGAUUAGAAGAUAAUUCUGAAACAAAUGCCUGCCACUCUUUGAUUACAAAAAUGAUGGAUGAGCUGUAUCACCAUAUGCCUGAGAAUCAUUGUGUGUUAAAGGACUUGGAUCGUCUUCCUACUGAGAUGUGGCCCCAGCUUCUCCGUGAGCUCUGCAGCACACCUGUUCCCACCCUGUUCUGCCCCAGGAUUGUGCUGGAAGUGCUGGUUGUGCUCCGAAGCAUCGGCAAACAGUGCCGCCGUGUGUCCAGCCAGGUCACCGUUGCCUCGGAGCUGAGACACAGGCAGUGGGUGGAAAGGACGCUGCGGUCUCGCCAGCGGCAGAACUACCUGCGUAUGUGGAGUAGUAUCAGACUACUGUCCCCUGUGCUCAGCCUGAUACUGUUACUCAUUGUGCUGGAGUUGGUCAACAUUCAUGCUGUUUGUGGGAAGAAUGCGCAUGAGUAUCAGCAGUACCUAAAGUUUGUAAAGUCGAUCUUGCAGUACACGGAGAACCUGGUGGCUUACACCAGUUACGAAAAGAACAAGUGGAAUGAAACUAUCAAUCUUACACAUACAGCGUUGUUGAAAAUGUGGACUUUUAGUGAGAAGAAACAAAUGUUAAUACAUUUAGCCAAGAAAUCCACAAGUAAAGUACUCUUAUGAAAA
rnacentral:sRNA from 1 species